CCCAACCUCCCUCGACACCCUCGAAGUUCUUGGGGUUCAUGUGGAAUCCCCUGUCCUGGGUCAUAGAGCUUGCUGCUAUCAUGGCCAUUGCACUUACAAAUGGAGGGGGCAAGCCUCCAGAUUGGCAAGAUUUCAUAGGCAUCAUCACUAUUUAUAAACUCCACUAUUAGCUUUAUCGAGGAGAACAAUGCCGGUAACGCUACGGUUUGAAGAUCUCGCUAAAUCGAUUCUAACCACUGAAGUCGAGGAAACAAAGUGAUAAUCAUAAUAUAGAAGAAGCCAAGAAAUUGACCCAUUAACUUUAUGCUUCAGUUUCUGGGCAUCCCUUAACCAAGUCGUUACUGUACUUUGGAUCAAUUGGUUAGUGCUGUGCUGGCGCACUUCAUCUUGAAGGAGAAACUACACAAGCUAGGGAUGUUGGGCUGUGUGAUGUGCAUUGUCGGUUUUGUCAUAAUUGUCAUCCAAGCAUCGCAAGAAAGUCUCAUUACUUCUGUUCAAGAAAUAUGGAUUAUGGCGACUCAACCAGCUUUUCUGCUUUACAUCGACUUGGUAAUCAUGUUGGUGUUCAUCCUGGUUUCCAUUUUUCACCUAGAUGUGGGCACACGGAUGUGCUAGUUUACACUGGCAUCUGCUCAUUAAUGGGCUCUCUCUCGGUGAUGAGUGUGAAAGCCCGUGGGACUUCUUUGAAGUUGACUUUUGAGGGGAAGAAUCAGUUGAUCUAUUCCGGAGACUUGGUUCUUUAUGUUGGUGGUGGCUACAUGUGUAGUUACCCAAAUGAAUUAUCUCAACAAGGUCUGUCCCAAGAUGUUAUCCAACUUUAAUUAGCUAACUUGCUUAAUGCUGAAUUUGUAAAUUUCAUUUGUCAUUGCCUCACAACAAUCGAUAAUAUUGAAUGACACCAAAUUUCCUCUUUUACAAUAACUUUUACUUUUCCCAUAUGUUGAGAUUACAUAAUAUUGGGAGAAAAGGAAGUCAUUGAAUAUAUGCAUCUUUCUUAA